AGGGAAUAUUGCGCAAUGGAGGAAACUCUGACGCAGCGACGCCGCGUGAGUGAUGAAGGCUUUCGGGUUGUAAAGCUCUGUUCUCAGGGAAAAAGAAAGUGAUGGUACCUGAGAAGAAAGGACCGGCUAACUUCGUGCCAGCAGCCGCGGUAAGACGGGGGGUCCAAGCGUUGCUCGGAAUCAUUGGGCGUAAAGGGGGCGUAGGUGGCAUUGUAAGUCAGAAGUGAAAGCCCUGGGCUCAACCCGGGAAGUGCUUUUGAUACUGCGAAGCUUGAAUGUGGUAGAGGAUAGUAGAAUUCCUGGUGUAGUGGUGAAAUACGUAGAUAUCAGGAGGAAUACCUGUGGCGAAGGCGGCUAUCUGGACCAACAUUGACACUGAGGCCCGAAAGCGUGGGGAUCAAAC
rnacentral:rRNA from 1 species